GCCAGACUCCUACGGGAGGCAGCAGUGAGGAAUAUUGGUCAAUGGGCGGGAGCCUGAACCAGCCAAGUCGCGUGAGGGACGACGGUCCUACGGAUUGUAAACCUCUUUUGCCGGGGAGCAACGGGGUCCUUGCGAGGGCCCAAUGAGAGUACCCGGAGAAAAAGCAUCGGCUAACUCCGUGCCAGCAGCCGCGGUAAUACGGAGGAUGCGAGCGUUAUCCGGAUUUAUUGGGUUUAAAGGGUGCGCAGGCGGAAUGUCAAGUCAGCGGUAAAAUUUCGGGGCUCAACCCCGUCGUGCCGUUGAAACUGGCGUUCUUGAGUGAGCGAGAAGUAUGCGGAAUGCGCGGUGUAGCGGUGAAAUGCAUAGAUAUCGCGCAGAACUCCGAUUGCGAAGGCAGCAUGCCGGCUCCACACUGACGCUGAGGCACGAAAGCGUGGGUAUCGAACAGGAUUAGAUACCCUGGUAC
rnacentral:rRNA from 1 species